AGAGGUUGAUUUUGGCUCAGGAUGAACGCUGGCGGCGUGCCUAACACAUGCAAGUCGAGCGAAGCGCUUUACUUGAAUUCUUCGGAAGGAAAGUAUUGUGACUGAGCGGCGGACGGGUGAGUAACGCGUGGGUAACCUGCCUCAUACAGGGGGAUAACAGUUAGAAAUGACUGCUAAUACCGCAUAAGACCACAGCACCGCAUGGUGCGGGGGUAAAAACUCCGGUGGUAUGAGAUGGACCCGCGUCCGAUUAGCUAGUUGGUAAGGUAAGGGCUUACCAAGGCGACGAUCAGUAGCCGACCUGAGAGGGUGACCGGCCACAUUGGGACUGAGACACGGCCCAAACUCCUACGGGAGGCAGCAGUGGGGAAUAUUGCACAAUGGGGGAAACCCUGAUGCAGCGACGCCGCGUGAGUGAUGAAGUAUUUCGGUAUGUAAAGCUCUAUCAGCAGGGAAGAAAAUGACGGUACCUGACUAAGAAGCACCGGCUAAAUACGUGCCAGCAGCCGCGGUAAUACGUAUGGUGCAAGCGUUAUCCGGAUUUACUGGGUGUAAAGGGAGCGUAGACGGAGAGGCAAGUCUGAUGUGAAAACCCGGGGCUCAACCCCGGGACUGCAUUGGAAACUGUUUUUCUAGAGUGUCGGAGAGGCAAGUGGAAUUCCUAGUGUAGCGGUGAAAUGCGUAGAUAUUAGGAGGAACACCAGUGGCGAAGGCGGCUUGCUGGACGAUGACUGACGUUGAGGCUCGAAAGCGUGGGGAGCAAACAGGAUUAGAUACCCUGGUAGUCCACGCCGUAAACGA
rnacentral:rRNA from 1 species